UAACGUUCUGAGGAAAUAGGUGUAU
rnacentral:piRNA from 1 species